GCUCUGCUUAGCUUGUUCUUCAAGCUACUGGGUUUUUCCAGAUGUAUUGUAGUUGGCUGAGAACAACUAGCGUCUGUAGUAUUUGCCGUGGCUUCAGAAUAAGCAGUCGAUGUCUGUGGACUACUACGCCAAAUUUAUUUAGUCUGAAGACAAAUGAUAAAAUAUUGAAUAUACAACGAGAUCAUGUUUUCAGAACUGGGAGCCCAAACUUGCAAUUCAGAAUUUUUUUGUCGGACACUACAUAUAAGGACGAAGAAUCUCCAGACUAUAUCACAGACAAUGAUUUUGAGGCUGACUUUUUCGAAGAUGCACUUGAUCCGAAUGCUGAACUUCAGUAUCAAUUCAAGAUUGUAAAUCUGGAAAAAUGUCAAGUAAAAGAUAUUUUGAAGUCUGUGUUUAAUAUUCAUCAGACCAAAAAGAUCGAGUCAUUGAUCCAAGAGAAAAAAGUGCUGAAGAAUGGAGAGUUAGUCACGAAGCGAACCCUGGUUGUAUCUGUGAACGACUUAAUUGAUAUUUUCAAGGCAACUAAAGAUGACUACUUCGUAGUGAGGCGUGCAGUUGUGAAGUACAUUCAGGACUACGACGAAGAAAUAGAUGAAAAUGAGAAUGGAGAUGAAGAAAACGAAAAAAUUGAAAAGCACAAAAAAACUGCCUGUGUUAGAGUCUACAAUCAUCUAGUGAUUAUAGAAUAAGCUUCUAAUUAUUCAAUUAUGCUGGUUGUUUUGAUAACAAUUUUCCACUUCAAAUUUCCUUAUGAAAUAUAAACGUUCUGAGUUUUCAUAAGUUCGCAUUCAUAGUCUAGCUAGAAAGACCCUUUCUGAAUUAAGGUAAGCUUCC